AGCAUAUCAAUAAGCGGAGGAAAAGAAACCAACAGGGAUUGCCCCAGUAACGGCGAGUGAAGCGGCAAGAGCUCAAAUUUGAAAGCUGGCUCCUUCGGGGUCCGCAUUGUAAUUUGCAGAGGAUGCUUCGGGAGCGGUCCCCAUCUAAGUGCCCUGGAACGGGACGUCAUAGAGGGUGAGAAUCCCGUAUGGGAUGGGGUGUCCGCGCCCGUGUGAAGCUCCUUCGACGAGUCGAGUUGUUUGGGAAUGCAGCUCUAAAUGGGUGGUAAAUUUCAUCUAAAGCUAAAUAUUGGCCGGAGACCGAUAGCGCACAAGUAGAGUGAUCGAAAGAUGAAAAGCACUUUGAAAAGAGAGUUAAAAAGCACGUGAAAUUGUUGAAAGGGAAGCGCUUGCGACCAGACUCGCUCGCGGGGUUCAGCCGGCAUUCGUGCCGGUGUACUUCCCCGCGGGCGGGCCAGCGUCGGUUUGGGCGGUCGGUCAAAGGCCCUCGGAAGGUAACGCCCCCUCGGGGGCGUCUUAUAGCCGAGGGUGCAAUGCGACCUGCCUGGACCGAGGAACGCGCUUCGGCUCGGACGCUGGCAUAAUGGUCGUAAGCGACCCGUCUUGAAACACGGACCAAGGAGUCUAACAUCUACGCGAGUGUUCGGGUGUCAAACCCGUGCGCGCAGUGAAAGCGAACGGAGGUGGGAACCCUUUUGGGUGCACCAUCGACCGAUCCUGAAGUCUUCGGAUGGAUUUGAGUAAGAGCGUAGCUGUUGGGACCCGAAAGAUGGUGAACUAUGCCUGAAUAGGGCGAAGCCAGAGGAAACUCUGGUGGAGGCUCGUAGCGGUUCUGACGUGCAAAUCGAUCGUCGUAAUUUGGGUAUAGGGGCGAAAGACUAAUCGAACCAUCUGGUAGCUGGUUCCUGCCGA
rnacentral:rRNA from 1 species